rnacentral:rRNA from 1 species
UACAGAGGGUGCAAGCGUUAAUCGGAAUUACUGGGCGUAAAGCGUGCGUAGACGGUUAUGUAAGUCGGGUGUGAAAGCCCCGGGCUCAACCUGGGAAUGCCAUUCGAGACUGCAUAGCUAGGGUGCGGAAGAGGGAAGCGGAAUUUCCGGGUGUAGCGGUGAAAUGCGUAGAUAUCGGAAGGAACACCAGUGGCGAAAGCGGCUUCCUGGUCCAGCACCGACGUCAGGCACGAAAGCGUGGGGAGCAAACAGG